CUUGCCACUGUGCUGAGAGAGGGACAAAUGCUACAUGGCUCAAAAGAUGCUGAGCAACUGCUAUCUCUUCGCUCGUCAUGCUGAUACCAAUAUACGCUUACAUCCGCUUACAGAAGACGACAGUCUAAAAGAAACUACUUAUUUUAACCAUUUGAAACUUUGUGAGAGACCAGAUUGCUUUCUGGGAAGGUUGUAAUGCCAUGGAUCAAGGAGACCCUCUUCCCCUGUGAUGCGUGUGCCACCAGCCAGAGAAGCUGCAUGAUCUUUUUCAUUCUUCC